UAUUUUCGGUGGCAUAAAUUGUUUUCAAAGGUUUUCGAAUUUCAAAAACAACAAUUUUGUUAACCACUUUUUUCUCCCUUGUCUGUUUCAGUUUGUGGAGAAGGUGUGGAAUAAGAAGAUUGGAGAUGUAUUAGAAUUGUAUGUGGUAUGAGCAUAUAAAAAUGAACGCAUACAUAUCAAUAUGGUGGUUGAUGAAGUUGUUGCUGAAAAUUUUAAUCGUUUGUGGAGAUGGCGUGGGAUAAGAAGGUUGGAGAUGUAUUGGAAUUGUAUGUGGUUCGAGCAUUAAAAGUAUACAUAUAAAUAUGGUGGUGGAUAAAGUUGCUGCACAAAAAAUUAAUCGUUGGCCACGGGAAUAGCAAACCUCAUGAGUUUCUCCUCAUAUAAUUCUGGUUGGACUUUCAAGCUGAAGUACAUACUAACUUACAAUUUAACUCUAAAAAUUGAUGAAUGACAGACCAAUUUUUUAUAUAUUUUGUGAAUGUUUUGAAAAAAUUAUAAAUCAUCAAAUUAUGUAAUUAUUUACUAACAAAUUGGAUUUAAACGUGCCCUUUUGUUUUCUUUAUUUUUAUUAAUUCUCUGAUUUUAA